GGGCCCGCACAAGCGGCGGAGCAUGCGGAUUAAUUCGAUGCAACGCGAAGAACCUUACCAAGGCUUGACAUAUAGAGGAAAAGUGCAGAAAUGCACUCCCCGCAAGGUCUCUAUACAGGUGGUGCAUGGUUGUCGUCAGCUCGUGUCGUGAGAUGUUGGGUUAAGUCCCGCAACGAGCGCAACCCUCGUCCUAUGUUGCCAGCACGUAAUGGUGGGAACUCAUGGGAUACUGCCGGGGUCAACUCGGAGGAAGGUGGGGAUGACGUCAAAUCAUCAUGCCCCUUAUGUCUUGGGCUUCACGCAUGCUACAAUGGCCGGUACAGAGGGCUGCGAACCCGCGAGGGCAAGCG
rnacentral:rRNA from 1 species